ensembl:lncRNA
GCCAAGCAGAGAAGGAAUUGCCGCACAGAAGGAGUAAUAUAAAGAAAGCGAGCAAGUGAGAGUAACAGUAAACAGGCGAAUGAUCGAUGAGCGCCUGACGUGACUCAGCUCUCGGGUGUCGGCCAGCAUUUCCAUGACCAGCGAGCCGCCUACGCGACGAAGACAAACGACCCGGCAAUGAGGGAAAAUGAGGGUUUUAUCACCCGUUUCCCUCUCACACCGUUGCUGGCCGACGCUCCCCAAACUGCUUGUGUGUGUGUGUGUGUGUGUGUGUGUGUUUAACCAAAUGUGUGUCCCGUCUUCCUGAAAGGCUGGCUUGUGGUCAUGCGCUGGCCCGAGGGAGCAGUUUAGAGAAAUCACUCACUCAGCUGGAGACUUGUGGAGAAAUGCCUAAAGGUCUUAAACAGCUGUACGUUACCUGGGAUCCUAUGCGCGUAUAUAUAUGUGUGUGUGUGUGUGUCUGUGUGUGUGUGCAAGGGAGUGUGUUUAAAAGGACAUUUAUCUCAUCACGGAUAUAAUUACACUGCCCCGGGAUAGAGGGGAGUUAUACAGUUCUCCCUCCUCUCUCUCUCGAGCCCCUCUAUCCCUCCCUUUCACCCUCACUCUUCCUCUCGUACCUUCCCUUCAUUAUCCAGGCAAGGAAAGACGAUCCGCCUCCACCUUCUUCGGAAGUCAUUAUGGGAUUAGCUCAUUCCCAGAGUAUGGAUCUCUUUCCUUGGAGGCCUUGGAGGGGGCUCCCCUGUUCCUCGCUUCCCCAGACCCGGC